UUCCACAACUUUUUUUUGCCACUUUUCCACAGUAUUUUUUUAUCCUGUAACUUUUUCAUCCCACAACUUUAAUUCCUGUUAACUUUUUUAGUUUGUGUUCUUUUAAUAAACACACUUACAUAGUUACAAUUUUGUAAGAAUAAAAACCGAUUACCUCAUGCCAAGCAUGCCGAGAAUUUGCAGAGUCUCAAUACCCAGUACUAUAGUUUUCAAGACACACAAAAUUUUUAGGCAAAACAGCACCUUGAAACAAUUUAAUAAUGUAUUACAUUAUAGUAGCAUCACAGCAGCAGUCAAUAAUGCCACUUUAGACAAAAAUCAGUAUUUCCAUUAUGCAUUCUGUGUAUAAGAAUUCAUAAAUCGGUAAAAGUCAUUCUAAGAAAACUUGGCAAAUACAGCUUUGGACUGGAAUUGGCAUUUCUUUGUCUACUUUUCCUUCCCCUAGAUUCUUUGUUUUAAACUACAGUAUUCAUAUUUUAAAAUGUUUUAAAUUAUUUUAAGACGUUAAUAUAGCAGUUACAUUUUUGAAUAGUUAUUUGAAAGUGACUGUAAGAUAAAGUUUUAGAGAAUCUAUUAUGGAUAGGGUUGAUUUACAUUUUCACAUUUUCUAAAAAUCAGCUUUGGUUUUAGAACUGAUUGUUUUUCAUUUUGGGAAAACCUACCAGGUUUAAUCAAUUACUUUAAAAAUAAUUAUCAUAUUUUGCAGUCUUUAAAUAGGUGUUUUGAUUCUUUACUCCCUACAGAAAUUCAAAUUUAUUCAGUUGAAGUCACAUUUUAAAAUUCUAUGUUCCUGCUGAACUCUAACCUUCUAAUGUUGCCUUCUAAGCAAAUUAAAGGCUGCCUUAUACUGAAUGAGGUAGAGAACAAAUACUUGGCUGAAUGAGGUACUGCAAAAGACUGCAUGCACUUUGAAGAAAGACUUGUCAUAGUUAUUGUCAUAGUUAUUGUCAUAGGAUUUCCAUUCUCUUUAGCUUUUUCUUAAACAUAUGACAAAAUACCUACACAGAGAGUGGUAUUUGAGUUAAUAUAGUACAUUUAUUUUUCAGACUGACAUUCAGCUUAAAUAUGCCAGUAUGUGAUUUAAUCCACAGGUACCUGAUGAACACAUUAUUGUCAGAUUGGUUACAGUUGCUAAAUGCUAUCUGAAGGUCAUUCCUAGUCAUUUAUACGUGUCAGGGUAAAAGUGAAGCGAUUUGAACUAUAAAAAUACCUUUGAAAUAAUUUAUCAAUGUAUUAGGUAAGCUCAGUUUCAGAAUGAUAAACUGUUAGACCAAAUAAUGUGGCUAAUUAACAGUGGUACGAUUUCUAGCCUGAGGGUUUAAAAUGGGCUUAAAGUAACUGUCUUUAAACUGAACUCAAAGAAUGCAAAAGCGGCAAGUUCAGACAAGGCAAGAACAGGACCUUUAGUCCAUUUUAAGCCAUAAAUAUUACACAAAAUAUGCCUCUAACUGAAACUGAGAGGUAUAAAAACAUAUUUCACUCUUUGUAAAGAACUUUGUGAGGAAAUAUAACUCUGUGAUUGUAUAGACACUUUCCUCAUGACACUUUGACAUUCACGAACAGUAGAUUGUGCUGCAGUUUGUAAACGUUUUACGUUGCAUAAACUGCUCCUUGAUUUUCAAAUGUAGUAUAAUACUGUCUACUAAAACUCCUUUUUGUUUCAACUAAGUACUCUCACAUAUAUUAGUUUAUAAUAAUGUUUGUUAUUAUUUUUAAAGUGUUCUCCAUUCAAGGAAAAGAAGUAAAUUCCUAUGUCAGAUGGUUGAAGACUAGCUAUUAGCCAGAGAGGUCUAGAUGGUAAAAUCCAUCUUCUAGCCUCAAAUAAGCUCCAUGAACACAGAGGAAUGCCAGGUGUCACACAGCUUUCCUUCACUCGAAUUCAUUCUUGACUAGAGCCUGUAUAUGCCUGUUCCAGGGGCAUUUAAACUCUUAAAGGAUUUCUUCUGAUCUUUACUAAAUACAUUAAGGAGAACGCCAACCAGUGCCCUUUUGUGUACUGGGACAUGUAGUCAUGUGAUUAAAACAGGGAACAUGAACUCUGACUUUAAAAUGUAUUGUAGAUAUAAAUGCUCUCAGCUAGAAAAGGUUUUCCACAUCCACAGUCAUGAUGGGAGCCUUUCAUUCCUCAGAAAUAAUCCCUUUUCAGGUCAUCAAAAAAGAGUACAACUGCCACAGCUCAUGAGGCAGUAUCUUCAUGAGCCUAGAGCACAUACAAAUCCUAAGGGAACUACCGUAGUACAGCGCUCAUUCUUGGCACCGGAACAAAUGAAACAUAUUCUAUCCUGCACACACCUGCCAAAGCAGGCCACUUUCCUCUUCUGGGAGAUUUAAAAACCUCCCCAAAAUGUUAUUACUCCCAUCCCCAAUACACAGAAAAAGGGGGAAAGGCUGUUUCCAGAGGGCAAACCACAUAUUGAGCUAAUGAAGAGCUCACUGUGAUUAGGAUUCGAUCAAACAUAACAGCAGAACAUAAGGAAAUUUUAUCUGAAUUCCGUAAUGAAUAUACAGGCUGUACUAACAUUAAAAAAGCAUGGCAGCCUAUCCCAAACCAGCAAGAACAGUUGUGUGCAUACAGUGGGUCUUUGUGUGUUUGAACUCCCACCACAUAAGGGCAAACUCGAUAUGCAUGCUAACGUCCUAUAAUUAUCAAAUUAAAGAAAUGCUAAAAGAUGCCAGAGUGAACAUGAGAGAAAGACCCACUCUCAUUUAACUUUUUACAAAUAAAUUUAAAUUAUAAAUUAGAAACAAAAAUAAAUUUAAACUAUAAAUUAGAAACACAAAUAAAUUUAAACUAUAAAUUAGAAACAAAUAAAUUUAAACUAUAAAUUAGAAACACAAAUAAAUUUAAACUAUAAAUUAGAAACACAAACAUAAGUGGCUCUAACAUUCAAAUGAAGUAAAUGAAUUGUGUAGGAUAUUAACCCCUUAAAUGUUUUGUUUUUUUUUUUCAAUUUCUUGACCCGCUCUUAGAUGAUGGUGAUGUUUAGCUCCCUGUUCUCGGCAGCCCGAAAAGAAUGGCAUGCAGCCUCUCCUGCUCCUCCUGCCGCCUCUCCUGUACCAACAGCUUCUCCACUCAAGCCUGGGUGCUCCUGGGGAG
rnacentral:lncRNA from 10 species